GCCUAGCCGUAACACAACAAUCAAAUCACCCAUUGUUCGCCAAAUAACUACGAGUAAAAACUUAAAAUUUAAAAGACUUGACGGUACCUCAAAACAACCUAGAGGAGCCUGUCUAAUAACCGAUACCCCACGAUCAACCCAACCCCCUCUAGCCUUAACAGUCUAUAUACCGCCGUCGCCAGCCUACCUUGUGAAAGAAACAAAGUAAGCUAAAUAGCCACACACUAACACGACAGGUCGAGGUGUAACUUAUGAGGAGGCCCAAGAUGGGCUACAUUUUCUAAUACAGAAAACACGAAUUAAUCUAUGAAAAAGAAGCUGAAGGCGGAUUUAGCAGUAUACUGGGAACAACAUACCCAAUCGAAACUAACGCAAUGAGGUGCGUACACACCGCCCGUCAUCCCUGUUAACACAACAAAAAUGUACAUAACACAAACAAAAACAUAAAGCAGGGCAAGUCGUAACAUGGUAAGCGUACUGGAAAGUGCGCUUAGAAA
rnacentral:rRNA from 1 species